CCACAGGAAGCAACAUCACCGACGUGCUAAUGAGGCACAGGGCACAGGAAAUGCUGCUGAUCUUCAUAAGACAGAAGGAAACCGUCCUCAGCCCACCGUUCCCUGGGCAGGCUUGCAUGUGAUUAGAAAUGGGGAGGAGAGUUGGGGAUGAGAUUGUCCACCCUGGGUUCUGAGACACUUAGAGUUUUAUAAGCCUCCGGGGUCAUGGUGCUUUUUCGUGGAGACAGAGUACUGGGAGGUGCUUUUAGAGAGAAGUGUGUGUCUCUGGCACCUGCUUCCGUGUGUGGGGGUGAAAGGUACAGAGGAACAGGCUUUAAAAAUAGCUUUCCAGGUGAUGUUGACAGCUCUGGUCUGUGUUUCAUGCUUUGACAAUCUCUGCUCUGGGUGCUACCCCCCCAAACAGAGGUCUUGCUAAGUUACUGAGGCAGGUCUUGAAAUGGACUUAGCCUCCUGAGCUGCUGGGAUACAGGCGUGUGCCACCGUGCCUGUCAGGAACCCGGGUCUCUGCCUCACAUCUCCUUUGGAUCAGGUCUGGUUUUCGGCGGACACAACAUCUUUGUUUGUAU